AUUGAACGCUGGCGGCAUGCCUUACACAUGCAAGUCGAACGGUAACGGGCCUUCGGGUGCCGACGAGUGGCGAACGGGUGAGUAAUGCAUCGGAACGUACCUUUCAGUGGGGGGUAACGUAGCGAAAGUUACGCUAAUACCGCAUAUUCUGUGAGCAGGAAAGCAGGGGAUCGCAAGACCUUGCGCUGAUUGAGCGGCCGAUGUCAGAUUAGCUAGUUGGUGAGGUAAAGGCUCACCAAGGCGACGAUCUGUAGCGGGUCUGAGAGGAUGAUCCGCCACACUGGAACUGAGACACGGUCCAGACUCCUACGGGAGGCAGCAGUGGGGAAUUUUGGACAAUGGGGGCAACCCUGAUCCAGCCAUGCCGCGUGAGUGAAGAAGGCCUUCGGGUUGUAAAGCUCUUUCGGUCGGGAAGAAAUCGCGUGGGUUAAUACCCUGUGCGGAUGACGGUACCGGCAUAAGAAGCACCGGCUAACUACGUGCCAGCCGCCGCCGUAAUAC
rnacentral:rRNA from 1 species